rnacentral:rRNA from 1 species
CCCUUAGAUGUUCUGGGCCGCCCGCGUGCUACACUGAGUAAUUCAAUGGGUAAGGGAACGCUAGAGCAUUACCUAAUCUUGAAAUUUGCUCGUGAUGGGGAUCGACGGUUGCAAUUUUCCGUCGUGAACGAGGAAUACCUUGUAGGCGCAUGUCAUCAUCAUGCGCCGAAUACGUCCCUGCCCUUUGUACACACCGCCCGUCGCUCCUACCGAUUGAGUGAUCCGGUGAGGCUCUGGGACCUGGACGGAAAGAGCGUUUCGCUUGUUCUGUUUGGGAAACUUGGUCGAACCUUAUCAUUUAGAGGAAGGAGAAGUCGUAACA